AUCAAGCUGACGAGUCCUAAGUAGAACGAAACACAUGUCCUGGAU
rfam:Schistosoma curassoni strain Dakar, Senegal genome assembly, scaffold: SCTD_contig0000005